CUACGGGCGGCACCAGUGAGGAAUAUUGCACAAUGGAGGAAACUCUGAUGCAGCAACGCCGCGUGGAGGAUGACGCAUUUCGGUGUGUAAACUCCUUUUAUAUGUCAAGAAAAUGACGGUAGCAUAUGAAUAAGCUCCGGCUAACUCCGUGCCAGCAGCCGCGGUAAUACGGAGGGAGCAAGCGUUACUCGGAAUCACUGGGCGUAAAGGACGCGUAGGCGGGAUAGAAAGUCAGGUGUGAAAUCCUGUGGCUCAACCAUAGAACUGCACUUGAAACUUCUAACCUAGAGUAUGGGAGGGGAAGAUGGAAUUAGUGGUGUAGGGGUAAAAUCCGUAGAUAUCACUAGGAAUACCAAAAGCGAAGGCGAUCUUCUGGAACAAUACUGACGCUAAGGCGUGAAAGCGUGGGGAGCAAACAGGAUUAGAUACCCCCGUAGUC
rnacentral:rRNA from 1 species